AGUGAUACAACAAGUCUCUUGUGCCAAAGUGAAAUUUACUUGAAAUCGUUAUUCUUUUUAAUUGUUUCCUCAAACUAUUAAUCAAAAAUGCAGCGCAACCCAGCUUUCCCCUCUGGCAUGAGCUCCGGCUACAAGAGUUUUGCGCCCAGCCCCUGCUUCGGGCCU